rnacentral:rRNA from 1 species
CAGUAGCGUAUAUUAAAGUUGUUGCAGUUAAAAUGCUCGUAGUUGAAGUUCGGAUGCAGCAGAGCUUGGAAACGCUGUUAUGGUGCUUCCGUUGCUUUUGCUUGUCCACAGUGCGUUGCAAGUACGUAUGUGCUUGUGCGUGCAUUUUACUUUGAGAAACAUAGGGUGUUCCACGCAUGUUACGGCAUGAAUAUUCCAGCAUGGGAUAAUCUGGUACGACUUCCAAUCUGCCAUUUUGGUUCGUAGGUUGGAAGUAAUGAUUAAUAGGGACUGUCGGGGGCAUUGGUAUUUGACUGUCAGAGGUGAAAUUCUUAGAUUCGUUGAGGACCAACCACUGCGAAAGCAUUUGCCAAGGAUGUUUUCAUUGA